AGAACAGCUAAUUCAUCUGCGAUAUAUACAGUGUUCCUAAGAUUUUGAGCUUAUAGCAGUGUUCAGUUACAGUAAUCUUAUAAAAUCCAUUAGUACAUGUAUUAUUUUUUAAAUAAUGGAGAUUUUUACAAAUUCAAUUAAGAACAGAAUGGUUGUUUAUAACAGCAUUAUAAUGUCUACAUUAGAAAUAAGGUUUACAUUUCAGAAUCAUCUAAUAUUUCAAUUAUUUGGUUACUAUGAACCCUAAAUUGUCGGGAAUUUAAUUCAAAAUUAGGUUUCUAUGGCAUACACUUGAUGAAAUAAUGUGAUGUCCUUUUUCUAUUUCUUUACAGCAAUGAGUGUCAUCACUCUAAGACUCAGAAGAUAAAAAUUAAACCACUAAAUGUUACAGGAAGCACCAUUACAUGACAUUUACCUCUGAAGUCAGGAGCUGCACAUCAAGUGGUCACAAAAAAGUUGAAAAAUACCAGCCUCUGUUUUGGCUUUUCUUCAGAAAAAGAGUAGACAAAGCCUUGGCAACUCCAGCUACAGAGUGACUUCAACCACUUUAUUUCCAGCCCUUGUGUGAGUGUUGGAGAAAAGAGUCAACCUCAUGGGCAUCUUGCACUCUUUGGAAUGAAAAGGCUGGGAUUCCUCAUCCUUACACACAUCAGAUGGAAGAAAAGCCUCUAGUCAAGGCACUUUCCUAAUAGCCAGGAAAAUAUGACCAUAGCUGCUGGCUGUGAUUCUCCACAACAGUCAGAGAAAUGGACUUCCAGUUCACUUCCAUAAAGUCAAGAACAUUCAAACACCAGUAAGGUAAGUGCCACAUUUGAUUUGAUUGAGUGCCACAUUGGGUGAUACCCAGAUGUACUGAAGUUCCAAACAUAAAACCAAUGCCAAAAAUACCCCAACCUUUUAGUUCUCUUUUCCAAGUAAAGAAAUCUCUAAGCUUUGCUUAGAGAAGACAUUUUGAAAAAUUAUGGCUCUUUCAAGACUCUGUUAUUAAGAAGUAUGAUGUCACAGAUAGUGGCUGGAAGAAGGGUAUUUACAGCUACUUUUUUUUUCCUAAGGCUUAAAGUUGUUAGGAAGUUAUCCAAGUUACUUAAAGUAUUACAAUAAUGCCUUAAUCACUUACACUCCUUUUCUUCCUACCAUCAUCAUGAACAAAACCAAAAGCAGGCAUAAGUCAAUUUUCUCCUGAGAAUCUCACAAAACUGUUUCAAAAUUCUUAUUUAAUCUAUAUAUUCCAAUCAUAUUUUAUUGCUUCUUCAGCUUCUCCUUUUAACAUCUUUUACCUAACUUGUUUUCAAAAUUGUAACUUUCUGGAUUUAAUUUGCCUUUGAAUAUCUUCCAGUUUUGACUAAUAGCUUCACAUUCAAAAGUCUUUGAACAGUUAUUUAGUUGCUUUGAACUCCUGAAAUUCAAGUGUAAACUUAUUUGUCAUCAUGAUGCAUUAGCACUGAAGAAUUGCAAUGAAAUAAGAAGCGGCCUUAUUAUUUGGACUAUUAAUAACUCUUAGGUCAUCUGUUAAUCCUUCCUUAUUUUUAAAAAAGGUGAGUAAAAUUGUAUUUAAAAUAUAACAGUACCAAGCAUGUUUUUAUGAGGCAGGAUGCUAACUGAUAGAGCUCAGCAAGGUUGUAAACAACUCUUACACUGCACACAAGAAGAUUUGAAAUCUCCUCAGAAUCCCUUUCUUCUACAAGCCAUGCCAGGAACAAUAAGAAUUAAGUGUGCUGAAACUUAAUAGUUUGGAAAUGCUCUGGCGUGGGUGUAAGGCAAAAACAAGAGGUUUUUGAAAAAUUCAGGACAAGUAGUUUGCAUACAAAUGAACAAUUUGUUCUUGAAAAUGUUCUUUCCAUCUUGUUUUACUAUUAAGCACAGUCAAGGACAAUUGUUGGUAUAAAUUUUGAUUAUUAUCAUGAAAACUUUGGCAGUGAAAACCAGUGAGAACUUACUGUGGGAGGAUGUCGGCCCUUCCAACUUUCUGGUCAACAUCCGGUAGCAAAUGAAAAAAAAUAACCCCAAAAAAUUAACUCCCAAACUUUUAUCCUACAUAUGGCAAAGAAUAGCAUUUUUAGGAUCUCACACUGCAUAAUCUUACUCAUAUUACUAGUACUGAGCCCUAUGUGGUAGAAUUUGUCGACUCAAAAUUUUAGGAAGCUCCAUUAGGUAGAACAAAAAAUUAAUUUUAGGAUGAAUCUUCAAUAUUUGGCUUUUCAGUGCUUCUAGCCAUUUCAUAUAUUUUUGAAUACUCUUGUACAGGAUUUUUUUUUUCCUGGCUGCAAUUUCUAUCUCCACUUAUACUAGAUUUCUGCACUAUUGGAUACUACCUUGAUUUUCUUCAAUAUCAAUAUGCCAUUGCAUUACUGCUGAACUGCUCAAAGGACACAGUAUAGCAUUUAUAUAAUUUUUCUUCUCUUAUAGGGGUUUCAAUUCACCUGUAGAAGGAAAAAUGACACCUGAUCAAACAAAAGGUUGCUGGUACAAACAUAGUAAUGACAUAGUAAUGAUCGUGUACCAAAUGAGUGCUUUGCGUCACGUGGCUGUGGCAUUUCCAGUCCUAGAUCAAGAGCUCUGAAGUAAGAUUUACUGUGUUGUCAAGCCAUGGCCUGAGGGUUUUAAGGAGCUUGAUUAGAAGAUUCAUACUGUCACAUACUAGGAUCUGUCGAGUGCGAUGAAAGGUUAGUAUUUCACACAAUGAUUUGCAAACCUUCAGCUGAAAUCCAGUAGGUUUUGGUUUUCUUUUUUUUUUUUUUUUUUUUUUCCCUUGGGGAAAGUAGAUUGUGUGUAUUUUUUCUCCAAGUUUCACUAGGUCAUUUGCAAUUGAUACCACAGCAACUUCUGGUCAACAUGUCCUACAUCCUUUUCUAAGAAAACAACUAUAUACUAGCUCAUAAUAAACUUGUUCCUACUAGUACUCUAGAGUAAGCAUAUUAAUUCUUAAUGUUCAAGGUAAAAUUUUAGUGAAAUAAGAAUUAUAAAUAAGGACAGAUCUCUAAUGUUUUAUAUCAGGAAAAUUGAAACUAGAAGCUGUAGUCAGGUGUUUCACUCCUUUACAAAUGGUGUAGUUCUGCUUCAAGAUAAAAGUGGAUCUCAGAAAGGUUUAUUCAAGUAAGAAAAAUAGCUUGACUCAGUCAGGUCCAGAUAAAAGGAAGGUUGUUUCUAAAUCAAAAAUACAAGCUGUCUUUCGGGACUCACUCCUGUCUAGCACUGAAUGUUCCCCCAGUCCUGUUUGCUAUUAAAUGCUACAGAUUCCUACAGAAGUUACAGAGACAUGUUGCUAAAAUCAUGAAUGUAUAUUAAAAAAAUCAGAAGAUUUUGCCUUUGUGGUACUUUUACUAUUUAUUUUCAAUUUAGUUUUUUAUUUUCACCAUUUUUGGUAAGGCAUUUAAGUGAAGUAUCCGGACUGUUACUGGUAAUAAUAAUUUUUUAUUCUGCCCCUCCCCCCAGUUCCUUCUAAAAAGUAAUUUUUCAAAACAAAACCCUAUGCCAUUUGACAUGGGAAGUGUGACUGCUAUCAAGUGGCCGGGUAUCAAAUGAUUUACCCCCCUUAUCUAUUCUCAAUCUUUUCUUUCCAUUUGCUUUACUUACAAUGUAAGAUAUGCUACAUAUUUUGGGAGACAAAUUCUUGGAGAUGUAAUAGAAAAAUUAAUGCUUAGACUAGACACAUUAUUUAGAAAUAUUUGUUUGACAUAGCAGUUAUUAACAGUUUUUGACUUAGCAAUUAUUAACAGUUUUACCAAGUAUACUAUUAUGGCCAUGUCAUAUUAUGCACUUAGACAUUCAAAAGCAUAUCCCUACUCUAAAAUGUGAUUUGGUAAUUUUUUUCUUCAGUAAGUGAGCACCUUCCUUAAAAUAAAUUAUAGGGUUUCCCACCAUGUUUUGAAGAUCUACAGAGGUUGGUGUGCUUGUAAGUUGCAAAUCUUAGGGCUGAGAGAUACCACCAAAUACAAACCAAAUAACCUUCACAGAUAAAGCCUUAAACUAAAUAGCACUGCAAAUAAGAAGCCAACACAGUCUUUAGAAUAGUCACAUGAAGCAGUCUGACUGUCUAAUAAGCUGCCUGACUGGCCAAGAAUACCAGCAGAAAAAAAAAAUCACACUUCAAAGAACCAGGAGGGUGUCUUCAACAAGUCAGAAAUUGGUUUUUGACCUUUCUGACUCAUGUAAGCUUUCUGGAUUCCCACCUGUGGUUUCUUUUCUAAAUGAUUUGAUGAUAAAAAGAUAAUAUUUUUUCUUCUUUUGAAUUGAAGAAACUCCUCCCUUUUUGUAUUGACUAUAACACUGCUGAAGCCAGCUCUCUCUAGUAUUGCCCUUUCAGGGGUAGGAAUAAGAACUGUCUCUGCUACAUUUCUCUGCAUUGCAUUUCCUACAAUAUUAACAGCCUGAAUAGUAGAAAUCUUCAUUUUAAUUGCACAUCUAUAUAUAGUUGCUGCAAAAUGAGCAUUAUAACCAGUUUAAGUUUGGGGUUUUUUUUUUGGAUUAGAUAAAUUCAACAUGAAUGAUGGUUUGUUUUUUUAAAGAAAUAAGACAUGAAGUUUAAAAUUCAGCAUUGACUGAAGUUGAUAUUUUCAAAAGGCAAGUUAAUGUUUGGAGACUGUCGUUUUCAACAUCUGGACAGAGGCCUGAUUUUUGAAAGUGCUGUCAGUCAUGACUCUUUUAAAUGGACACCACUCGUCUUAAUAAAAAAAUUGCAAAUAUCUGGCCAGACUCAAAAUCUUGGAUUUAACUCAUUUAGGGGUUUAUUUUUGCUUUAAUGCAAAAUGCCAAUAAAAGCAAAACUCAGGAAUAACCACCAUUGUACUCUGUUUUUAAUUAUAUGGAACAUGCUAACUGAGUCUUCAAAAAGUACUAAGGUAUUUUAAGCAAAGCCUAUGUGGUGCUCAGGUCAGAGGAUCUGCAUAUGCUUAAGAUGCUUAACACUUCACAAAAUGAAACAUCUGGAAGUGUCCUGCUGUAGAAAUAGAUUAAAACAUAAAUUGGAAAGAAAAUGCAAGUAAUAAGAAACACAAGAUCUUAGACUCAUUUGGAACAAAAUGACUGAACCAAAGAUUGGAACCCAUAACUGAGAUAAAACUAGCGGGUGACUUGUUAAAAUCCCCCACAGGAUGCUAAGCAAUUUUUUUUCCCCAAUCCCUCAUUUUUAUUGAGAACAAGAUAACCUUCUCCCUCAAUUUGUGAUCUCCCUGCAAAUAAUCAAGAAGAUUACAACUUCUUUCUGUUUUUAACUUUCAUCCUGCUGAGAAACUCUGAAACACUUUCAGCGGGUCGCCCAGACAGCACUAGUCAUUAUGUAUAAGAAGAAGCGCUGGUGAAGUAGUAUAUAUGAGAAAUGGAAAACAAUUUUGAUGGUUGGAGCUUAAAAAUCAUACAGAAUAUUGCUGAAAGUGCAAUAAAAAGUAGUACUGAGAAAAUUUGUGAAGCUGUGGAAACAGAAUAAAAAAGUCAGUUGUUGAUCCAAGGAAGUACUUUGUGUUUUUUCUUUCUAAAAUAGUUGUACUGCUUAAUAAUGUAAAUAAGGUUUUCCUGUACUGUAAAGCUCUGUGUUGUCUUGCAUUUGCAUAAUACUUUCCUAAAAGACUGCUGUCUCCUUCUACCUAAGGAAGAAGGAAGUGCUAUCUAAGGCGGACCUAUGGGGAAAUUUUCUUUUGCUGACUCCCCACUUCAUUCUCUAUGAUGCAACAACAUGUGUGGGUCUGCCCUGCUUCACUUUUCUCCUUCUUCCCUCAGACUCAGAUUUCUGACCAACAGCUUCUACAUAUUGUGUGCCUCUAUCUUUUGGUGUACUGGAUGUGUUAAUUGUGAAGAAGAGUCUGAAAGCAUCAGUGGGAUAUCAGCUCAUCCUCAUGUUUUUACUGUGGCUUGAACAUUCACAAGGAUCAUUCUGGCUGCAAAGAUUUUCAGGGGGGAAUUUACUGGUUUCCUGGGACACAAAUGCAAGGAAAAUCUAAUUUGAAUUUGAAAAAUGUAAGAUGAAGAGGACACAUUUCAUAGCUGGAUCCUUUUUAACCUCUAUUUCGCAGCAUUUUAUUUAUAUUUUGUAAGUGCUUUAGAGGAAAUUAGAUUUGUUAUCUAGACAAUUCAUAUGCAAAAACUUCAAUUUUUUAAAAGAAAAAUCAAAUACUUUUUUAACUGCAAGGAUCAGCUUCUAUACUGACCUUUAUUAAGAGAACACUUAGGUCAGGAUGGAAAAACUUUAAAUUGAAUAUGGCUCCAGAAUACUUCAGAUAUUUAAAAUGCCCUAUUCAGUGUUUAUGACUGUGGCACAGUACAGCAAAAGUAACUUCAGUGUAUUGUGAACAAGCCCAAAUAAAGCUUCUAGUGCAGUUCUCAUAAAACCUCAACUUUCAUUACUGAGAGCAGAAGCAGGCAGCCCUAAAUUAGUAAUAGCUGAUGUGUCAUUAGAUUUAUCUUCUGCAGCCUAGGACCACUUCUAUGUGCCAUGAUUCAUUGCAGGUUCCAAUGUAAAUUAUGAAUCCAGGAGAAACUGGUACUCAUACAUUGCAAGUUGUAAUGGCUGGAAUUUGUGUUCUUCGUCUUUUUCUUUCUUUUAACGAUGGACAUUAGGUUAGCAGUAAAAAUACUGUUUCAAUUCCCAUCUCCUUGCACUUGUUUUAUCAACAUCCAGGGUUGUUCCUCCAUUGCGCAGAAGCUUUCUCCUUUCUCUAAGCUAUGCACUAAAAUGACCUAAAUUCAAAAAUUAGAUUCUCCUUUCCUCAGCCUUCCCCCGUGCUCAGUUGGUGAGUUUUGUUCCCAAAAUGUUGAAUUCAACCCUAGAGCUGGCCAAAUUCAGUGCAGAGUGAAGUGAUUUCCAUGCUGCUUGUUCUGUGACUCACUGUGAAGUGUGGGUUGGUAUGGUUUUCAGAGAGCUGACCUUGCCUCAAAAUCUGUUCUCAUUAAGCAAAAUUCCCAAUGAAAUUCAAAGCACAAUUAAUGGUCACAGAAUUUUGCCAAAAGCAGUAACCACUAAACUAAAUGAGACAGCGUUGAUUAUGCAAAUAAACAGCCACCCUGGAAAGCUUGUCUGUUGCCUAAAACUAUGCACUUCUAGGAUUAUUUAUGUUAUGAUACUGAUCAGAACUGAAAUAUUAUUAUGCUAGAUCCUAUAUAAAAACAAAUUACUGGAUUGCAGUGUGAUUUGAUAAACGAUUCAAUAAGUAACAAACCACAAAGAAGGGUCUUAGUUCUGAGGAAAUUUUGUGCAUAUCCAGUUUUUUCCUUAUCUAGCAAUAUGUAUAGUCUUUAAAAUUUUGUCUCUAGUAAUUGAAGAACAUCUUGAAAUUGAAAAUAGAUAACUCAGUUCUGGCAAUUAAAUUAAAAGGUUUGCCAUGUGAAAGCUGGUGAUACUGAAAGCAUAAUUAUUUUAUUAAGGAAAGCAUGAACUUAUUAUUGGAUGCCAAAAUAGGGCAUUCAGCGCAUUUCAGUGGAUUACUCUUUUGCACCAAAGUCUAUAGCAAAACUAGAAAAUAUUGCACAAAAUAUUCAGUUUUUAGUUGUAAAUUACUGAAAUGUGCACAGAGAUUACAGAUUUGGUGUCUCAAAAGACAGACCACUGAAGGAACCAUAAAGCAGGAGAACAGGUGUUUCACCUUGGAAAGAAAGAUUUAACUCUCAUCAUUUAUAAAAAGAAAGUGAAAGAGCCACUUCUGAGUCUCAGUCCUUUAUCUCUUCUACUCUCUGGUUUGCAUAUGUACCUAUUGGCUCAUUUUAGAAGUCAUUUCUGUUUUAGUCAAAAACCAGAAACUUGAAGUGCAAAUGGUGUACUGGCUAUACAAGAGAAACAGUUAAAUUCUCCAAGUUCAAAAUACUGUUUCAUUAACAAAGUAAUCUGAAAAAUGCUAUUUAAGAAACUAUGUUCCUGCAGAUGCAGAAAACUUACAGUUCAGUCCCAAAAUAAGUCCACACCAAUGAGAGAAACAGACAAGCAAGCUGCCAGUAAGAAAUACAACACUUGAGUGAUAUUCAUCACAACAGUAGUUUACACAAAAGGAUCUUUGAUCAGAGGACUAAUAGCAAAAAAUUAUGGCUUCCCUUUAAAUGCUAUGGGCCAGCAGAUCUGACCCUUGCUGUAUGUAGUGAGCUCUGUAUUGUUGGAAUCUUAAAUUCUUUAGCAACACAACGAGCUAGACUGAAAUACUGUAACAGGCCUUGAGCUUUUCAUCCACACGCUAUACCUGCACUGCCUGCCUGCCAUCACUCUGUCCAGUGGUGGCAAAUAUACAUCACACACUACAUUUUUUAAAUAUGUAGCACUCUAGUAUUUUACUCAACAACACUGUACACAUAAAAGGCCUGACAACAGAUUGGAGUUUCUCCCAGGAAAUAUUAGGCUCAUACCUUCGUUCCUUUUUUUUUUUUUUUUUUUUUCCUCCAGGUGUUUUUCUCUUUUUGUCAGUGAAUAUGAUAAUUUUUUUUGAGCCUAAAGUACUUUUCAUUCUUCUCUCCUUUUUUUGGGUUCUACAGUCAGGGAACAAGAAAUUGGGAAAUUUUUAAUGGGGAUAAAGAAACCCCCAAAGUCAUUAAUUUUUCAAAGGAUUCACUUAGUGAAUGACUAUUGCAAAUGCCUCUAUAAAAAAACAUUGCAGUCUAUUAUUCUGUUAUUCUUUAUAAAUUUGGAACUUAUAUAUAUUUUCAAAUUUUUCAAAUUUUAUUUUUUAUGAAAGCUACUGGGAUUUUUUUUUCCUUUCUCAGAAAAAGACACAUUUUUAGCUGUUUUAGGGCAAAUUUUCAAAACAAUUAGCGGGAGGUAAGGUACAUAUAUGAACCCAAACAACAAAGUUUAAUAUCAUUUCAUCAAGAUGAUAUGCAUAAGGAGGCAAAGUAUGAAACAUAUCUUGCAAGUUCUACCUUUCCCUUCUACCUUAAGCACUUUUUUGAAAAUGUAACUCAGAAUAGUCUUUCAAAGGAAGGAAACACCAUAUUCCAUGUUUUCACUCAUAAUAAAAGAAUAUAGUUAUGAAGCUUCUCAAAAAUAGCAAACAAGUAAUGAUGCAUGGUUGCCUUUGCUUGCCUCAAGUUGCUGUUCUAUGUGAAAAGAGCAUCAUCUUCCUCCUUCAGUGAACACUGCAUUACAACAGACCAUUUCCUGCAUGAUCAAUUAUCCCAUUACAGUGUAAAAACAAAAUUAAAGUAAAUCCAAACAGUAUUAGAGUUUUGUGUAUUUUUAUAGAAAACAAAGCUGACACAGCUUUCUCAGCUGAAAUUGUAGCCAAUACUUAUACAGUAUAAUACUGUUUACAACAGGUUCAGCCAUUGCAUUGCACCUGCUUUUUCAAUGGAUUAGGUAAAUGACCAUCAACUGAUAAAGUUUUUAAAAUCAGCCCUUUAACUUGUUUAGAAAGGACUGGAACAAGUUCCAGGAUUUUUUUCUAUAACUGUACAUUUUUAACAUGGAACCAAACUAUAAAUUGUGAAAACCCACACUGUGGACUGUAGUGACAUUCUUGCUAGGUCUGUGGUUAUGGAAGUGGUAGGAAGGGGAUGCAUACAAAAAGAAAAGACUGGAAGUAUUUUCUGCAUGCCUGAUCUUUUCCUGCAUUGCCUAAUUCAGUGACAGUCAUAAAAUCUCUCCAGAGGUCUUUGUUGAAAUACUUGAAAAUCUAUGGGUAGCAAAAGUCAGUCUUGAAGCAUCUUUAACACUUGUUGACUGAGCAUUUUUUCACUGCUUCUGAAAUAAAUUACUAUCAAUAACACAAAGUUAAACAGGAGAAUUAUAAGGUAAAUGCUCCAUUUUUGCAGUUAUUAAUUCUGAAAGAGGUUCAUCCAGAGGUUUCCUCUUUCUUGAGGAAAUGGACUAAGUAGGACCACCUUUUCUUCAGCAAAUAUCAGUGAAGGAAAAGGUUUGAUAUCCAACUCUGGAAGAGAAGGGCCAACUUAGUUCUUGCACAUGCUGUAAAGCUGGAGACAGCCCAACCAAACCAAAGCGAAGGGCAGCUGAUGGUAGGUGCACCAAGGCCAAAGUUUUUCAUGGAAACACAUGCACAGAUGCAGCACCACCAGAAAUAAAACAGCAUAAUGCAGCAGGUAUGCUCAACACUACCUUAGAGUUUUUGCCUUGGGCUCUACAUGCAGAGAAAUCAAACCUCCAGCUGAUGCAAAAGGUCUGUGUGAUUUUGCAAUAGUGUUUAUCUAUUUGUUUAAGGAAUUCUUUCACACAGUCUCUAGAAAAGCAAGUGAAUACUUAAAUCGUAUGUCAUGCUGUAUCUUCAGCUACAAUGCUUACUGCUUGAGUAUUCCUGCUUCAUUUUGCAUAAACUGACAUCAUAUACUGAAAGAGGGCCAAUGUGCUUCUCAGAAACCAAGUAGUCAUGAGAUUCACCUGGCACUACAGAUAUGCACAUGCACACACAUGUACACACAUGCACACACACAAACACACACGUACGCACACACGUACACACACACGCAUGCAAAAAAUAGGAAAAACGACUCAGCAAUUGCAAGAGUCGCAAUUUACCAUGGAAGCCUCUACUUAAUAUUCCGCUUGAUCUGCCAAGUUUAUAGCCUGGCAAAUCUGAAUACAAAUGUCGAUGCAAAUGAGGAUUCAUUAUUCUUACAUCGUCUUUGUGUUGAAGCUUAAUGUAACUUGGUUCCUGUGGUUGCUCAGGGAAUGUAGAUUGCAAGACAGGAGGAAAAAAAAGCCUCGACAAAACCCAGAGAAGCAAAUAGGGAAAAGUAACAGAAAUGGAAAUAAAUGGAAGAAAAAAAUAUGCUAAGGUUUCAGACAGGCAAAACAUCAAACCAAUGCAUUACAUUCCCCCCCUAUUUUCUUAUAUAAAGUACAUUUGCUUAUCAUUAUCAGCAUAGAAGGAGUUAACUAACCAAGACCAUUCUCCACAGAGUCAAAACAUAACAAUCUUCCUUUUACUGAUUAUACAAUAUUGUGCCCAUUGUAAAGUCAGUGCUCCAUUUAUCUGAAAAUUUUAGCAUUCUUUCAUAAUUAUAGAGCUCAUCAGCUGGUAGAACCUGUACAUUUAGAUCUGUGAGAAGAUUAUAAAUGAAUUUAAAACCACCCCACCAUUUCUGCUUCUUUCAUUAUAAAUUACUGCUGAAUAAUUCAAAAACACGUUAAGAAAACUACAGUACGAUUAAUAAACUAUACAGUGAAAAUCACAACAGUUUAAAUCAUACAUUUAUUGUCCCAUUUAUAGCCCAUCACAAGCGAGGGUUGAAAAGUACCAAAUUAGAGAAAACAUGAAAUAUGCUGCAAAAUUAUAAUUAGAUCCUCGGUGCCACACAGUACAUUGUUCUGAUGAAUCUUUUGUACGGCUAACUUAUGCUUACAUAUAAAUACCUUCUCAGUAAAUAAAAAUGUACUGUAGGCUUGACUUUUAGAGAAGCUGUAAAGCUUAGCAUAUGCGAUGAUCCCAAAGUCAAUGCUGUAAGGCUUGCUUCUUCAUCCAUAAAUAAAGCACAUUUGCAUCCAUUCAGUCAAAUUAGCUCCAUAUAAAAAGGUGGUUAUAAUUAGCUCCUCUUUCAGGUUCACGGUUAAAACUCAAGCGUGCCUGCCGUCUUGAUUAAAUCCACCAUCGUCUUCCAAUAGCUAGUGCUAAUUCUUCCAAGGAAAUAUUCAGUUGAGGUGUUAUUUUAUUCUGCACUGCUGUUAGUUGUCUAAUUUACGCCAAGUCCCUGCAGUGCUUUCCUUAAGCCAUCCUCUUUGUCUUGCCUUUGAAAUUUACCAAAUCUUACAAGAAAUCAAUACUUAAUUGAUUAUUCACUUUUCUGCAGCUUCAAACAGCAAGCACGCAUAAGAUCCUGGAGUAGUCACCCGAUUUCCAAUGCAGGAGGUUGCUUGGUGGCAGGGAUCUGCAAGUAUCCAACAGCAGGCAUUCCACGGAGCUGUGCAGUGGCGUACAGUGCCAGCAUCCAAUAAAGAAAACGAAGAUACUCUAACGAAGCAGGAAAAGUUCCCAUGUGAGACAGAUCCAUAUCAAUGCUUUAAAUAAAAAGCGGAGGCACUGGCUUUCAGAUAGAAGAGCACCAUUCUCUUUGCAGCUACCCCUCUGUUCUUUCCUUACCCUUUUCUUCCUAUGGCACUGGAGUGGAAUAUCCAAAGUGCCACCGAACUCACAGAACUCCACGUCGGAACGGGGGUGAGGCUCGUGCUGUACCUCUGACAUAGAAUAAGGAUGGCAAGCACGUAACAUUACGAAAUGUAGGACAAAUUCAGGCGAGAGAGAGAGAGGGAGAGCAAGAGACAGAUGGCGGAUCUGGCUGGGAGCCAAAGCCAGUGAAAUGAAUUACAUUGCUGAAUAACUGUACAACCAUUGAUUCUGCCACUUGUUGCUGCAUGGCAAAAAAGGGCCCUGACGUUGGCAGGAAUCUCCUUGCGUGUCACGCAUGCCGCAGAUAACUUUUCACACGUAACUCGCUGCACCAACAGUGACACGCUACGUGUGUGUGUGUGUGUGUGAGAGUGUGUGUGUAUGUGUGUGUGUGUAUGAGUGUGUGAAUGCGUGUGCCUGAGGGACAAAAGGAGAGAGCCAGCGUGUGUGUGGGGGGUGUGUGGGUAUGUGCCUGCGUGCGUGGUGUGUGUGCCUGUGCGCGCGCGCGUGGAGGGGAAAACAAUCACUGCAAUCCAGCCAUUUUGUUUAAUGAAGAAUGGAAGGCUGGCAUUCAGAGACGUGGUUAUGUGCCGCAUAUUAAUGUGUGCUCUGUAGACAUCCUCCCCCUUUUUAGAUGAGUGGCACAGGAAUGAAGCCCUCUAUAGAGCAGCCACUGUGGGAGCAGGAGCUCACAAGAUUAGCAAGGAACUCAUUCUCCUGGAUACACUCACUUUGGAGCAUUGAAGACAAUCCUUGAGGAAUACACAUGGAAGAUGCUGGUCACUGGAAUCAUGAGCACAACUGAAGGAACAAUGCAUCCUUUCCCAUUCUAGCAAGGAUGUCUCAGGGACUCUAUUGACUCUGAUGCAUUGAGACUAUUUCUCACUCUGGCAAGGUUCCAUUAAAUAUGCAACACUUUUUUGCCAUAAUACAGCCAAACAAAAUUCUUAUUGCUGUGUUAAACUCCAUAACUCCUCUUUGUGUAAGAGGCACACAAACAAGUGCCUCAGGUGUAUCUGCUUUCAGUUAUAACUAUAACU